CCGACCGCCGCCCAGCAGCUAGCGCUUGAUCGUAUGGCCCAGCUCUUCCAGGUGGCCCUGGCUGUCGACGGCCUGGGCGCCAGCAAACGGGACAGCCUGGACCAGCUGGGCCGGCUGCGAGUGACGCGGCUCAUCCAGAUCGUCCUGCAGCACAACAGCUAGCGGCGUCAGCCGCAGCCUGACGCCAGGCCGAUCUCCGGACGACGGCCCGGUACAGGUGGCGCCAGCGGUCGCUCUGCACCACCUGCUGCUCACAACACCUCCCGGGCUGUACACAACCCCCGAGCUGUCCACAACACCCGCUGUGCGUUACAUCUGGCCUGCCGGGCGUAGCUGACUGGCGGGAUGGCGGCAUGUCCCCUUGUCCGGUCUUUGUCAGCGGCCCGCUGGAGCGACGGCGGCUGACGGGAUGGCGACAUGGCCCCGCGUCCGGUCUUCGUCAGCGGCCGCUGGAGCGACGGCGGCUGACGGGAUGGCGAUAUGGCCCCUUGUCCGGUCUUUGUCAGCGGCCCGCUGGAGCGACGGCGGCUGACGGGAUGGCGACAUGGCCCCGUGUCCGGUCUUCGUCAGCGGCCCGCUGGAGCGACGGCGGCUGACGGGAUGGCGGCAUGUCCCCUUGUCCGGUCUUUGUCAGCGGCCCGCUGGAGCGACGGCGGCUGACGGGAUGGCGACAUGGCCCCGCGUCCGGUCUUCGUCAGCGGCCGCUGGAGCGACGGCGGCUGACGGGAUGGCGACAUGGCCCCGUGUCCGGUCUGUGUCAGCGGCCGCAGGAGCGACGGCGGCAUCGGUCCGCCGCCGACAGGCUGCAGGGCUGGUGCAGUGUCGAGCGCGUGGGCAUGCCUUGUCGCGUGCGUUGUCGUGCUGCGUUCCGCUGUCGCCGCCGAACCCUUCGAGCGGGAUACCCCGUGAAAUCGGAGGCGCUUGACCUGCGUGGGGUAUGCGCGAGGCGUGCCCUCCGACAUGUCAACUGGCAGUCAUCGUUGGUCGCGUGACGAGGCGAAAAUGCCAGUCAUUGUUCCGUAUCCUCGUGCUGAAAUGACUGUUAGUUCGCCACGUCAUGAAUUCAAGCAUCCUGUCGUGCGCGGGUUUCGUUUUUCAAGCUCGGACGGCCUGUUGUGCUCAUUUCAUUAUGUGAUGAAAUACACGUGACCAAAGCCGGA